rnacentral:rRNA from 1 species
CUGAUAGUUAAUAUUUCAAGGGCCCGCAGUAUUCUGACUGUGCAAAGGUAGCAUAAUCAUUAGGUUUUUAAUUGGGAUCUUGUAUGAAUGAUUAGACAAAAGAAAUACUGUCUUUAUAUUAAAACUUGAAUUUAACUUUUAAGUGAAAAGGCUUAAAUACACUAAAGGGACGAUAAGACCCUAUAAAACUUUUACAUUUAUGUUAAAUUUUAUGGAAUUUGAAGAUUAUAAUUAUUAAAUUUAAUUUUUUGUUAUGUUGGGGAGACAAGAGCUAUAAUUGUAUAUAACUGCUUUUAAGGGAAACAAAAGAUAAGUGAAGAGAUUAAAGAUCCUUUAUUAAGAUUGUAAGAUUAAGUUACUUUAGGGAUAACAGCGUUAUUUUUUUUGAGAGUUCAUAUCGAAAAAAAAGAUUGCGACCUCGAUGUUGAAUUAAAAUAUCUUUAUAAUGCAGGUGUUAUAAAAGAAGGUCUGUUCGACCUUUAAUUUUUUACAUGAUCUGAGUUCAAACCGGCG